CGAGAGGUAGUAUAACUA
rnacentral:tRNA from 1 species